GGAAUUCCCAGUGUAGCGGUGAAAUGCGUAGAUACCGGGAGGAACACCAGUGGCGAAGGCGGCCCCCUGGGCUGAUCCUGACGCUGAAUGCGAAAGCUAGGGGAGCAAACGGGAUUAGAAACCCCGGUAGUCCUAGCCGUAAACGAUGGAUACUAGGUGUAGGAAGUUAAAAUACUUUCUGUGCCGGAGCUAACGCGUUAAGUAUCCCGCCUGGGGAGUACGGCCGCAAGGCUAAAACUCAAAGGAAUUGACGGGGACCCGCACAAGCAGCGGAGCGUGUGGUUUAAUUCGAUGCAACGCGAAGAACCUUACCAGGGCUUGACAUGUAGGUAGUAGUGAAGCGAAAGCGGAACGAUCCUUCGGGAAGCCUACACAGGUGCUGCAUGGCUGUCGUCAGCUCGUGCCGUGAGGUGUUAGGUUAAGUCCUGUAACGAGCGCAACCCUUGCCGUUAGUUACAUGUGUCUAACGGGACUGCCCGGCAAAACUGGGAGGAAGGUGGGGAUGACGUCAAGUCAGCAUGGCCUUUAUGUCCUGGGCUACACACACGCUACAAUGGCCGGUACAAUGGGUAGCCAAGCCGUGAGGCGGAGCCAAUCCUCCAAAUCCGGUCUCAGUUCGGAUUG
rnacentral:rRNA from 1 species